GGCCUGUUAGCUCAGCUGGUUAGAGCGUGGUGCUAAUAACGCCAAGGUCGUGGGUUCGAACCCCACCUGGGCUA
rnacentral:tRNA from 1 species